GACGAAGGAUGCAAGCGUUAUCCGGAUUCAUUGGGUUUAAAGGGAGCGUAGGUGGUCUUCUAAGUCAGUGGUGAAAUCCUGUCGCUUAACGAUAGAAUUGCCAUUGAUACUGUAGGACUUGAGUAUAGUUGCCGUUGGCGGAAUAUGACAUGUAGUGGUGAAAUACAUAGAGAUGUCAUAGAACACCGAUUGCGAAGGCAGCUAACGAAACUAUAACUGACACUGAGGCUCGAAAGUGUGGGGAUCAAACAAG
rnacentral:rRNA from 1 species